GAAACAACCUUCCUUGAUUGUUUCCAGCCCUUUCAAAGACCAGGAAGUCGGGUAGAAGAAGGCCAGGUGAGGAAUCGUCUCCUGUGACAUGAACUUAGUCUUUUUUUGAAAAGAAAAAAAUCCCUGUCCUCUGUUUUACUGUCCAUUUGAAGGCAGGGGAGUGGCAAUGGCUAGGCCAUUGGGAUUGGGCGAUUUGCCCAGGGGCACAGAGCUAAGAAGUGUCUGAGGCCAGAUAGGAACCCCGAUUCUCUCCACUCCAGGCUAUUGGGCUACUUCUCUGGCCUGAAUUUAGUCUUCAUAGAUGUGAAACAGGAAUGGCGGCCUCCAAGAAUCUCCCUCCUUCCAGGUCUGAGCCAGAGCAGGCUGGGCUGCAGCUCUUGAGUCCAGUACAGAAGCCGAGCAGCCUCAGUCCCUGUGAGUCCUGGGAGCAGACAGGAAGGAAUAAAGAGAAUCAGGCAUUUUCCACCUCAUCCGUCUUGGCAGAUACCUAGAGGACUCCCACUUGCUGAGUUCAGGAAUUAUGCUCUGAUAUCUUCAUUCGCCACUGCUUUGGAUGAAAGUUUAAUCAGAGCACGAUGAGAGGGAGAGCAGGUAAUUGAAAGAGAAGACCAUUUUUAAAAUUCAAGCCAUCUUUUCCCUUUUUUUUAGCUUUUCCAGUGUUAAGGAUUACAUUUUAAUGAGUCCUUGUCUCAGUUAAUUAUUGAUAUUGGAUACCUUCUACUGUUAAGGUGAGGAAAUUCCUUUCUACAUGGUGCUGUCAAGCUCCAUCAUAACUGCGGGACAUCAAAGAAUGUGGGAAGCAGCUGACCUCGUGGAUUGAUUGGGAGUUUGGAAGUUAUUUUUCUUUGUUUUUGGAAGUCUAAUUCACCUUUCAAGUACCUGGGACUUGCAGCCAAAGUCAUGUUAUUAUGUGAGUCUGAAUUAAGCUAACUGGCAUUUGGAAAUAGAUAGAGCUGUCUCAUCUCAUCUUUAUAGAUUGCAGGGGGAAAUGAAGCAGGACCUGGUGCUGCUUCAGGGAAGCACUGAUGGGCAUUCUGGCUUCUGUUUAGGGGAAGGAAACCCAAUGAUUUGUUUCCCUUUCUGGUCACAGGCAGAACCAAGGAAACGAUGUCAUGGGGAUACUGAGGCUCAUUUCAACGGGAAUCCAAGUUCCUUCUGGUGUUAUCAUCAGAUACAAAGCCAGUGGCCACAGGCAGAGAGCAUCCUCCGGUUUGACCGGCGUGGAGACUCACUGUCCAGGUUCCUGACCCUCCGGCCACCUCUGCUAUUCCUUGCAAAUGGUCCAUUCUAGCAGCGACAGCAGACAUAACUGGGAACAAUCUUUUCCCCACAUGAGAGAUGGCUGAGUUUGGAUCGUCUGGUUCCCCCAAAUGACUUGGGCUCCAUCCUUCUACAGCCAGUAGUAUCACGCCCUAGACUCUGAGUUCUUAAUCAUAGAUAGAGAUUUGCAUAAAUGACAUGCAAAUUCCUGAAGGCUCCAAUCCCUCGCCAUCUCCAGGGAAUCUAAGGCCUAGCUCUCCUCCAGCUUCAAUUUUCAAGCCAAUCUAAAGUCUUGUGUCUUUCUGUGUAAUUGUUCGAGCACACAGAAUUAACUUUGUGCCACAUUAGAUUUUCAUUAAAUGUUUGCUUCAAGAAUAUAAAAUCAGAAUUUCCAUUUCUGAAAUGUUCAGUGGAGCCUAAUGGAAUGCUUGACUCUUGGCCCUUCCGCAUUCUGAUAUAUGAUGAUCAGCUCAUUCCGUUCAUUUUUAUUCCUGGUUGUGGGUGAUGCUUAUAUGAGCUGAAAAUCCAUUCAGGCCUUGAGUUACCCACUCUCAGGUCCAUUUCUGUGCAGAAGUAUCUGUUCUCUUCCCAAUAAAGCAUGAAAAGGAGACGUGAGAGGAUUGGAC
ensembl:lncRNA